rnacentral:rRNA from 1 species
UGGGGAAUAUUGCACAAUGGGGGAAACCCUGAUGCAGCGACGCCGCGUGAGCGAAGAAGUAUUCGGUAUGUAAAGCUCUAUCAGCAGGGAAGAAAAAAAUGACGGUACCUGAGUAAGAAGCACCGGCUAAAUACGUGCC